rnacentral:rRNA from 2 species
UACGGAGGGUGCAAGCGUUAUCCGGAUUCAUUGGGCGUAAAGCGCGCGUAGGCGGCUUGUUAAGCGAGGAGUGAAAUCUGGGGGCUCAACCCGCAGCUUGCUUCUCGAACUGGCAGGCUUGAGUCUGGUAGAGGAAAGUGGAAUUCCUGGUGAAGCGGUGAAAUGCGCAGAUAUCAGGAGGAACACCAGUGGCGAAGGCGGCUUUCUGGGCCACGACUGACGCUGAGGCGCGAAAGCUAGGGGAGAACAG